rnacentral:rRNA from 1 species
GGUUACUGCUAUCGAGGUUCGACUAAGCCAUGCGAGUCGAAUGUAGCAAUACAUGGCGAACUGCUCAGUAACACGUGGACAACCUGCCCUUAGGUUGGGUAUAAACCCGGGAAACUGGGUAUAAUACCCGAUAGGUCUCGAUUGCUGGAAUGCAUCGAGAUUUAAAGCUCCGGCGCCUAAGGAUGGGUCUGCGGCCUAUCAGGUAGUAGUGGGUGUAGCGUACCUACUAGCCUACGACGGGUACGGGUUGUGAGAGCAAGAGCCCGGAGAUGGAUUCUGAGACACGAAUCCAGGCCCUACGGGGUGCAGCAGGCGCGAAAACUUUACAAUGCUGGCAACAGCGAUAAGGGAACCUCGAGUGCCAGGUUACAAAUCUGGCUGUCGAGAUGCCUAAAAAGCAUUUCAUAGCAAGGGCCGGGCAAGACCGGUGCCAGCCGCCGCGGUAACACCGGCGGCUCGAGUGGUAACCGUUAUUAUUGGGUCUAAAGGGUCUGUAGCCGGCCGGAUAAGUCUCUUGAGAAAUCUGGCAGCUUAACUGUCAGGCUUUCAGGAGAUACUGUCUGGCUCGAGGCCGGGAGAGGUGAGAGGUACUUCAGGGGUAGGGGUGAAAUCUUGUAAUCCUUGAAGGACCACCAGUGGCGAAAGCGUCUCACCAGAACGGACCUGACGGCAAGGGACGAAAGCUAGGGGCACGAACCGGAUUAGAUACCCGGGUAGU